CCUUAUCCAAUUCACAAUGAAUAAUGUCUAAAUUUAAAUCACUGCUAAGAAUGAUAGCAACUCCUCUUUUCUUAUUGUUAGUUAGGGAAGCAUGAUAGAACCUAGAAUAUCUAUUACCUCCCCACUUCUGUUGGGAGUAUCGAAGCCAGUGGGUUUCUUGUAAAAGGGCAAUUUGAAUUUUCUCUUGAAUUAGAGAAUAAUACAACCUAUUUCUUUUCUUCACCGUGUUUAGCCCUUGGACAUUUAAGGACAAUAUUUUUAGCAUAAGCGCAUUGAGUGUCUGUAUAUUCCACUAAUCCCACUCUGAAAAACAUA